AAUCCAAUCCGUUGACAUCUGUAUACGUACUUAUAUACUCUUAUAACAUUUUCGACUUUUAUAUUUAUCCUUUUUUUGAGACUAAUAUAAAAACUAUCCUCAUAAAAUUUUAUUUUUCCAAAAAUAUCGUUGUAAAUUAAAGUUCCAAACUCUUUCAAAUUUACCUCUUGAAUUAGAUUUUAUAAAUACAUCGUUAAAAAUAACCGUUAUCUUUCAUAAAAUAACUAUUUUGCGUAUUUAAAUAUAUU
rnacentral:lncRNA from 1 species